CUGUGCUGCAUACAAUUACACACUACGUCGUACGAUUGAGACAAGGAAACGUGGAAUGACUUUUCAUAGGUUUCCCAGAGACUAUGGGUUGAGGAGGAAGUGGAAGUUUGUUGGCUUAGACCUGGUGUCAUUCCAUCAGUGUUAAACUUCCCGGCUCAUCUUGGAAGAGUACGUGCCAGAAAGACCACAACCAAGCAGCCUUGAGAUCUUAGGCAGCGUCUCCCUGAGGUCCCUCUCUAUCUCCCCACACAUCCACCAACCACUGGAACACAUCUCCAAAGUUCUACUGGACCAGCUCAGCUUCCCCUCAGAAGAAGUACCGCCACCUGCCAGAUGGAGGAGCCUUUUGAGAGGCAGCUGGCAUCGUGAUUGGACUGUACUUUGGUCUGUUCCAAUCCAGCUUCAGCUCCAGAGACGGCAGGCGGGACGAGUCAACGGAGGCCUGAUGGACGAAGGCAUGAAGCUGAGUACAAUCCAGAAAACAACAGAGGAGGAGUGCAGCAGCCCAGGACCAGAACAACCAGAGUAGCAUGACCAAAGAACUACAGACUCUUCACAACCUGCUCAAACUCUUGGUACAGGAUCUCACCACACGAGUCAAGAAGGUUUCUGUCUCAUUUCUACU
ensembl:lncRNA